AUUGAACGCUGGCGGCAGGCUUAACACAUGCAAGUCGAGCGGAGAUGAGGUGCUUGCACCUUAUCUUAGCGGCGGACGGGUGAGUAAUGCUUAGGAAUCUGCCUAUUAGUGGGGGACAACAUUCCGAAAGGAAUGCUAAUACCGCAUACGUCCUACGGGAGAAAGCAGGGGGUCUUCGGACCUUGCGCUAAUAGAUGAGCCUAAGUCGGAUUAGCUAGUUGGUGGGGUAAAGGCCUACCAAGGCGACGAUCUGUAGCGGGUCCGAGAGGAUGAUCCGCCACACUGGGACUGAGACACGGCCCAGACUCCUACGGGAGGCAGCAGUGGGGAAUAUUGGACAAUGGGGGGAACCCUGAUCCAGCCAUGCCGCGUGUGUGAAGAAGGCCUUAUGGUUGUAAAGCACUUUAAGCGAGGAGGAGGCUACUGAGACUAAUACUCUUGGAUAGUGGACGUUACUCGCAGAAUAAGCACCGGCUAACUCUGUGCCAGCCGCCGCAGUAAUAC
rnacentral:rRNA from 1 species